CUUGGUCAUUUAGAGGAAGUAAAAGUCGUAACAAGGUUUCCGUAGGUGAACCUGCGGAAGGAUCAUUACAGAGUUCAUGCCCUUCGGGGUAGAUCUCCCACCCUUGUGUAUCAUUAUAGAAUGUUGCUUUGGCGGGCCGCGUGCCUAGCACGCCUGGAUUCGCGUCCGGCGUGCCCGCCAGAGGACCCCUAAACUCUGAAUGUUAGUGUCGUCUGAGUACUAUUAAAUAGUUAAAACUUUCAACAACGGAUCUCUUGGUUCUGGCAUCGAUGAAGAACGCAGCGAAAUGCGAUAAGUAAUGUGAAUUGCAGAAUUCAGUGAAUCAUCGAAUCUUUGAACGCACAUUGCGCCCCCUGGUAUUCCGGGGGGCAUGCCUGUUCGAGCGUCAUUUAUACCAAUCUAGCCUGGCUAGGUGUUGGGCUUCGCCGUCUGGCGGGCCUUAAAACUAGUGGCGGUGCUCUUAGGCUCUACGCGUAGUAAUUUUCUCGCUAUAGGGUCCUGGGAGAUGCUUGCCAGCAACCCCAAAUUUUUCUAGGUUGACCUCGGAUCAGGUAGGGAUACCCGCUGAACUUAAGCAUAUCAAUAAGCGGAGGA
rnacentral:rRNA from 1 species